rnacentral:rRNA from 1 species
CCUACGGGAGGCUGCAGUGGGGAAUAUUGGACAAUGGGGGCAACCCUGAUCCAGCCAUGCCGCGUGUGUGAAGAAGGCCCUCGGGUUGUAAAGCACUUUCAGUGAGGAAGAACGCCUGGUGGUUAAUACCCAUCAGGAAAGACAUCACUCACAGAAGAAGCACCGGCUAACUCCGUGCCAGCAGCCGCGGUAAUACGGAGGGUGCGAGCGUUAAUCGGAAUUACUGGGCGUAAAGCGCGCGUAGGUGGCUUGAUAAGCCGGUCGUGAAAGCCCCGGGCUCAACCUGGGAACGGCAUCCGGAACUGUCAAGCUAGAGUGCAGGAGAGGAAGGUAGAAUUCCCGGUGUAGCGGUGAAAUGCGUAGAGAUCGGGAGGAAUACCAGUGGCGAAGGCGGCCUUCUGGACUGACACUGACACUGAGGUGCGAAAGCGUGGGUAGCAAACAGGAUUAGAUACCCUGGUAGUC